ACACAGACUUCAUAAGUACUUGACUGUACCCAGUAGUCUUCCAUCAUUGUAUUAGAAAUUCAGAUAGUCUAUCAUCAAAGCACAGUGAGUUGCUUGCAAGUCACUAUGGUAACCUUAGGCCUGAAGGAUACUUAUACUCAUGUACUUCACGAGCAGCUCUUGACAGCAAAAUGCUUAACAGGUGAGUCAAUGUUCAGUGACGACGUAUCCUUACAUCUCACCUGUAUGCCAUACCAGUAUCACCACAC
rnacentral:lncRNA from 1 species